rnacentral:misc_RNA from 1 species
UAGACCUCCGGAGUUGGAUGAGAAACUUCAGAAGGCUAGGAAGAAGAAGGAGCGGGAACCACUCGUCUCUGAGCCCACUAGGCAAAGUAAGAAGAGACGGCUUCAGGAAGAAAGUGUUCUUACUUCGAGUGAGGAAGGUGUUUACCAGCCUAAAACAAAGGAAACUAGGGCUGCUUAUGAGGCUAUGCUGAGCUUGAUUCAGCAGCAACUUGGGGGACAGCCUCUCAAUAUCGUAAGUGGAGCAGCUGAUGAGAUGUUGGCGGUGUUGAAAAAUGAUAACUUCAAG